GGAGGAGGGAGCCGUCAGCUCUACUGAGCAGGUUGUUAACUGAGCACUUACUGUACUCCAGGCGUGGCACGAGGGGCUCAGGGUGUUUUGAGAAACAAGAUGCUCUGGUCAGUCUGCGAAUAUGUCAGAAAUCCCUUCUCCCUUCUGAAGUUGCCCCAAGUGGUGUCAGAGAAGGAUGUGGAAGAGACGGACCCAGCCGCCAGCCAAAGUCUUCAUUGAAACUGCUGCCCGUUGGGGUCCUCAGGUAUGGACCGCAAGGAAGACAGGGAGCGAGCUCCCCGUGGCAAGGCACUCAGGGGACAUUGCUCGUGUUUGUCACCAAGCCUGGCAGCCGGCAGAGACGCAGGACAGCUGCAGGGGAGCCCUGCCGGAGGCUGUUGGGACAUGCCUUGGGACUGGCUUGGAGCACACGGUGGGCUUCCUCGGUUGGCUUUAGGGUGGAAGCAGAGAGGAGGAGCCGGGGCAGGUGUCAUGGAUUCGCCCCGUCCUGCUGGUUGGGCUGACUGCUCCGGAGUCCCUGGGCCUCCCCGGCUUGCUGCUCCCGACGCAGCCUGGAUUCCUGGGCUGGUCCCAGUGUGUGGCAGCCGGCUGCUCCCGGAUGUGGGUCAGAGCUCAUUUUGUGUGUGGCGUGGCCAUCGUCCACGCGGCUCUCGUGGGGCUGCCAUCACCCACCGCGUGGCCAGAGAGAGCAGAGACUCAUGCGGUCAUGGCUUUGGAGACUCGGGGUCCAAGAUCAAGGUGUCGGCAGGCCCCGCUCUCUGCUCACGUCUGGUGCUGACCGCCGGCUGCUGCGCCUGGCUUCAGUGGGUGGCUCCCUCUGUCUUCAUUGUCACGCCAGUGUCUUCCUCCUGUGCACCCGUGACAUCACCUGGCCUUCUCCACGCGUGUCUGUGACCCUUCUCAUGAGGAUGCCGGCCAUUGAUGAAGGGCCACCGUGAGCCCUUACGACUUCAUCCUAGCUUGGCCACAUGUUGGCUGGGGAGCCCUGUGCUGGACCCUCCUUCCUGGACAUGGCAGUGCGUGGGGCCUAGAGACGGUGUCUGGGUCGCGCAUGGAUUCUCUCUGCAUAGCCAGAACUGGGUGAGCUCCUGCGGGGACUUGGCCCGAUUCAUCUUGCAGACGGGAGCCCCCCUCCAUCCUUGCCCUCGUUAUAAAGCCGAGGAGCCCCUCCCCUGACGUGGCCGCCCAGUCUCAGUCUUUCUAACUUCCAGGACCUUGAGCAAAGGAGACGUCUGUCCUCUGUGAAUUCCCCAGUUCCAGCUUUGGAAAUGGACUAGGCCAUCCGCAGAGACCCGGCUUCCAAGGAAGGUUCCGUUCCAGGGGCCAGGACUUGAAGGUCCCACUCAGGCCCCCCUGGGUUAGGACUUGACCGUCCCGUUCUCAGGCACCGGGGGCCAGGACUGGAGUGGAUCAGUUUGGAGACAGCCAGCCCCUGUCACGGGGUCGGGGGGAGAUGUAACCGAGCAAUGGAGCUUGUUCUGACGGGUCUCCGGGGCGCUGGAAGGAGCAGGCAGGCCACGGUCCAGGAACGGUCACUCCAGGGUGGUUCCCAGGGGAAAGAGAAUUGCUUUUUGUGACAAUAUGAUGUUGUGGGGA
rnacentral:lncRNA from 1 species